rnacentral:lncRNA from 10 species
GGCAGUUCCACAAACAAAGAUGGUUUAAUAGAUUUCAGCAUGUUUCCACUUGACAAUGUUAUACGAAAAUAGAAUCUUUAUUAAAAUAGCAAGGCAUAACAAUCACUGCUACUCAGGAAACACUGUGUUUAUUCUUUUUAAUCAUCAAAAUCAAUGACUUUGGGCAAGACCUGUGAAAUCUCAGAGCCUGUUUCUCCAUCUGGAGAACAGGCAGGUAGGGCAUUGCCAGCUCCCUGUGAGUGGGGGCCACUGGUGGGAGGAGAUGGCCCUGGUCGCCCAUGGGAUGAGAAACUUACUCCUGCUUCUGUCCCUGGAGAAGGUCAGGGAGAUGCCAGUGUGGCCUUAAGGCAAUUCUAACACUUGCUUAUCUCGUUUUGUAACAGAGAAGAGAGAGCUCUCAGCCUUGGCCACACCAGCAUGGAGCCCCCUUCCCCAGCGAAUUUAUUUUUCAUGGUCACUUUCUAUUUUUGGCAGUGAGUGAUACAUGUUAUCCACUAUUGGCAGCAAUUGGGGGGAAAAAAAGUUCAUUUUAAAAACAAAGUUUAGGCCGGGCAUGGUGGCUCAUGCCUGUAAUCCUAGCACUUUGGGAGGCCCAGGCAGGCAAAUCACGAGGUCAGGAGUUCGAGACCAGCCUGACCAACAUGGGGAAACCCCGUCUCUACUAAAAAUACAAAAAUCAGUUGGGCGUGGUGGUGUGCGCCUGUAAUCUCAGCUACUUGGGAAGCUGAGGCAGAAGCAUUGCUUAAACCCAGGAGGUGGAGGUUGUGGUGAGCUGAGAUCGUGCCAUUGCACUCCAGCCUGGGCAAUAAGCGUGAAACUCCGUCUCAAAAAAAAAAAAAAAAGUUUAAAAAGCGAGUCUGUUUAAAGGAGAAUAUUUGGUAAACAACAAUAUUAAAAUAUAGCAAAUAAUAGUAACAAUAAUCACAAUGGUAAGGAAACACUUCAUUAGAUCAACUUAAGAGUAUUUUAUUCUUGGCUGGGCGCGGUGGCUCACACCUGUAAUCCCAGCACUUUGGGAGGCCGAGGCGGGCAGAUCACGAGCUCAGGAGAUCAAGACCAUCCUGGCUAAUACGGUGAAAUCCCAUCUCUACUAAAAAUCCAAAAAUUAGCCGGGUGUGGUGGCGGGUGCCUGUAGUCCCAGCUACUCAGGAGGCUGAGGCAGGAGAAUGGUGUGAACACGGGAGGCAGAGCUUGCAGUGAGCCGAGAUCACGCCACUGCACUCUAGCCUGGGCAGCAGAGCGAGACUCCAUCUCAAAAAAAAAAAAAAAAAAAGAGUAUUUCAUUCUUGCCACUGAGCUUAAAAAGAAAGAAAGAAAGAAAGAGUAUUCCUAACAUAUGUCCAGUAAUUUUGAUUCUUAAGCAAGGGAUGAAGAAAUACAAUGGCAUCCAGGUAACUUCCUAACUAGCGCAUAGCAGGUAGCUAACCCACUCAUCUCUCCCUCUUUUCUUUAUAGCUUCUAUUUUUUUUAAAGAGAAAAAUAACGAUUAAAACAAGGGCAGGUUUAAAUAAUCGUCUCCUGAGCUGCACUUCAGUAUCUCAGGUAACAGCUGGAGCUGCCUGGUGGGAGCACAUCUUUUCCUUGAGUGUAAUUCACUAAUGACUGUGGUUCCAAGGAGGUGCGACCUUUAAAGGGAAUUGGCCCUUCUUUGAAGGCAGGUGAGAAUCUAGUCUCAGUGACAACCCAGCCUGAUUUGGAAGGGGGGAGUCAUAAGGGUUUUCGCCCAGCACACCAGGGUUGCAGCCUGCGCAAGACCUUCCAUAGCUAUUUCUGCCGGCUUGCUUCCUUCCCUUCCCAGCCACGAUGAGGCAGCUGAGGGUUGCCACGGAAACCGGCUCUGUCCUCCCACUGGAGGCUGCCAGCUCUGAUUUCCUGCAGAGUUAAGAAGGAGGCGGCAGUGGGGGUCACCCAGGAGGCGCUGUGAAUGCAGAAGCAGACCCGGUCAGAACCCUGGUGAAGCCGAGAGCACAUGUCCUGCAUAAGGGAGGCGGCUGCCACUCAGCUCUGGCCAAGAGUUACCCUUGGGAAUGUGAGCCCAGUGUGGCCAGAUAUACCAAGUUUUCAAGAGAAGCUGGACAUUUUGAAUGAACUCUCCCAAAGAUGAUAACAACUAAGGCAUUUUUUUAAGUGAAGUCCAAACAAAACACGUCUGCAGACUGGAUCGUGAUCACAGUUGGGGCUUCUGCACUAGAAUGCAUGAAAUCGGCACCUUCUUUUUUGGCUUGAUCAGUCUAAGGAGUCCUGGCUGGCUCCUUCCAGCCAUCUUGUCUGGGCUGUGUCUUCCUUAGCUCCCUACCUGAGUGCUGACACUGAGAAAGCCCAUCCCAUCUGGUGCCUGUCACUCUAGAACAGAGAACUCCACUCCUCAGAGCCCAGUGUUUGGAGGGUGCCCCUGUUCUGCACCGGGAAUGCAUCAGCCUUGGGGGAAGCUCUCCUGCAUUUUCUCAAGUAGUGUGAGCAAUGGGGCAAUCUGGCAAAUGGGGCCCCAGGGAAGCAGAUCUUCUAAGGGACUCCUUUGGUUUUAGCUAGUUUAAGGAUUAUUGGGGGACUGACUGCUGAAUGACAUCAAUGGACACAAAGGACAUCCUGAGUGGCCUUUCUGUGGCCAGCAUCCGCUUUGACUGG